rnacentral:rRNA from 1 species
UGAGGAAUAUUGGUCAAUGGGCGAAAGCCUGAACCAGCCAAGUAGCGUGCAGGAUGACGGCCCUAUGGGUUGUAAACUGCUUUUAUACAGGAAUAAAGUUAGCCACGUGUGGUUAUUUGUAGGUACUGUAUGAAUAAGGACCGGCUAAUUCCGUGCCAGCAGCCGCGGUAAUACGGAAGGUCCAGGCGUUAUCCGGAUUUAUUGGGUUUAAAGGGAGCGUAGGCCGUCUGUUAAGCGUGUUGUGAAAUGUAGAUGCUCAACAUCUGAAUUGCCUCGCGAACUGGCAGACUUGAGUGGGCGCAACGUAGGCGGAAUUCGUGGUGUAGCGGUGAAAUUCUUAGAUAUCACGAAGAACUCCAAUUGCGAAGGCAGCUUACGGGAGCACAACUGACGCUGAAGCUCGAAAGUGCGGGUAUCGAACA